rnacentral:rRNA from 1 species
UACGAAGGGGGCUAGCGUUGUUCGGAAUUACUGGGCGUAAAGCGCACGUAGGCGGAUUGAUCAGUUGGGGGUGAAAUCCCAGGGCUCAACCCUGGAACUGCCUUCAAUACUGUCAAUCUAGAGAUCGAGAGAGGUGAGUGGAAUUCCGAGUGUAGAGGUGAAAUUCGCAGAUAUUCGGAGGAACACCAGUGGCGAAGGCGGCUCACUGGCUCGAUACUGACGCUGAGGUGCGAAAGCGUGGGGAGCAAACAGG